GGUUAUUAUCUUGAAUAUUAUUAUAGAUAGAGAUAAACUGUAAACAGCAAUAAUGUUCAGCAAAGUAAGAUCUACAAAUAAGUCAACAAGACCAAAAUGGUCAGUUGACCACUUUAGGAGUUAUUGCCCUUUAUAGUCAAUUUUUAACCAUUUUUCGUAAAUCUUAGUAAUCUUUUAGAAAAAUCUUCUCCUCUGAAACCACUGGGCCAAAUUUAACCAAACUUAGCCAUAAUCAUCAUUGGGGUAUCUAGUUAAAAAAAUGUGUCCGGUAAAUCGGCCAACAAACCAAGAUGGCCGCCAUGGCUAAAAAUAGAACAUGGGGGUAAAAUGCAGUUUUUUGGCUUAUAACUCAAAAACCAAAGCAUUAAGAGCAAAUCUGACAGGAAGUAAAAUUGUUGAUCAGGUCACGAUCUAUCUGCCCUGGAAUUUUCAGAUGAAUCGGAUAAUCGGUUGUUAGGUUGCUGCCCCUGAAUUGGUAAUUUUGAGGAAAUUUUGCUGUUUUUUUGUUUAAUAUUAUCUUGAAUAUUAUUAUAGAUAGAGAUAAACUGUAAACAGCAAUAAUGUACAGCAAAGUAAGAACUAAAAAUAAGUCACUAUGACCAAAAUAGUCAAUUGACCCCCUAAGGAGUUAUUGCCCUUCAUAGUCAAUUUUUAACAAUUUUCUUAGAAUUUGAAGAUUUUCAAUAACAUUUUCCACAGAAAGUACUGUUAUAGAUAGAGAUAAUUGUAAGCAGCAAGAAUGUUUAGUAAAGUAAGAUCUACAAACACAUCACCAUCGCCAAAACACAAUUUUGUCAUGAAUCCAUCUGUGUCCAUUGUUUAAUAUUCACAUAGACCAAGGUGAGCGACACAGGCUCUUUAGAGCCUCUAGUUUAACAAUACGAACAAGAAUCACUUAUGCUUGGUCUCUAAAAAUUUGACGAAAAAAAUCCUGUUGAUUGCACCCAUAAUUUUUUAGUAAGUCAUGUAACUAUAUCGCUUUGUCGUUAACCUACUAAAGCAUGUUAUUUUGUUCUAUUAGAAAAAUUUUAAAUUUAGAAAAAAACUCAUCAUAGAUACCAAGAUUGAAAUUUCGUAUUGCACAAGACACGCGCUUCGUAU
rnacentral:lncRNA from 1 species